ACUGAAGGCCUGUACCCUAUCAACUAACAACUGUUAGUUAAAUAGUUCAAUAUAGUUAGUAAUUUCUAAGUUUCUGUUAAUUUGUUACAUUAAUUAUUAAUCUACUAUCUAUUGUAUAUAAAGCUACUGAUGACUUGAGAUAUACAAGCAAUUAUGAUUGAUUUCUUGAUAUGUACUCUUGUUAAUCUAAUAUGGUAUUAGAGGAGAAUCCAUUUGCUUUCGCAUCUUAGAAGGUUGCGACUUUGAUUGAUGAUGGCAAUUUCUUAGCCUAGAAGAACAUGUCUUACUUGUGAUUAAGACUUAUCGUCUUCGGAGUUAUCUUGAUGGUACAAUGUUGGUUCCUCCAUUUGUGGUCACUAGUUAUGGGGGUCUACCAGUGGAAACCCUGUUUUUGCUCAAUCUGAGUAGUAAGAUGUUGCUAUCUCUACGUGGCUCUUGCCCACUAUAAGUCUUACUCUGCAUAACUGGUUAAUUGGUGAUUCUUUAUCUACAUCUACGUUGUGGUUUGAUUGAAAAGAAUUUUUGGCAGUUAAUCAACAACAAAAGCCUUGAGGUGUGGUUAGAGAGUUCUUCAAGAAGAGCAAUAGUUAGAGAUUUUAAAUAGCCUUCUGUUGGAGUACGACCAUGUGGUUUCCAUCAUCACCGCAAGUCAAACACCAUUUGAUUUACAAGAAAUUGCAACUGCCUUGUUAAAUGCGAAGGCUCGUUAGAAUGUCCAUCUUGCUCAGGUCACGAUUACGGCUAAUCUUGCUAGUCAUUCCCCGUCUGCUCCAACUUCGAUCUCUGUACAGUCAUAUUCUAGUCUGAUGACAUCUCAGUCUUUUCGAUUUGGACGAAAUGGGUAUAGUAAGGGUCAUGGGCAUGGAAGAUUUAGACGAGGAUCUCGCCCUCAAUGUUAGAUCUGUGAUAAAUUAGGGCAUAUUGCCCGCCGAUUUUUUUAUUAGUAUGAUGAUAAUUAGCUUGAAGUCAUAUCAGCCCUUUCUUCUCAAUCUACUUUUUCUCAGUUUGCAUUGGCUCAAUAUUGUUAUGUUGAGUACAAUCCAGGUAAUCAUGUUUAGGCUCAUUCUUCUCAGCUUGUUUCAACCUAAUGUUGUUAUGCUGAGCGUGAUCCAAAUAAUUCAUUAGGUUUAGGGUUUGCUAGUGUUUUUUCUUCACCGUCUGCUCGCGUAUUUUCUUCUUUCAUUUUUGGCGCUUCUUUUGCUUGUGUCUCAUCAUAUCCCACUUAUGUCGCUUCACCUCCAACCUUUAACUCUUCAGGGUCUACAUUUGGUUUCCUUUCUGGAGUGACAUAUGCAGAUUAUAAUGGUUCUGAUUCUAACUCAAACAUUAUUACGACGGUUGCUACUCCUCGAACGGUCACCGGUCAAGUUUGGUAUCUUGAUAGUUGUGCUACUACUCGUAUAACCAAUGAUGCUUCCAAAGUUGUACAGGUUCAACCACAUGAUGGACUAGGUAGAGUAGUGAUUGGUGAUGAUAGGUCUGACUCGGUUGGGUCUUUGGCAUAGAAGGCUUGGGCAUCCCUCCAUUGAUGUUCUAGUGUUAUCCUCUUCUUCAGCCCUACAACCGUCACAAACUAUAGUAUAGUUCAGCCGAUUGUGUUUUUUUGGGUUACGCUGACAAUUACAGAGGGUAUAAAUGUGCUAAUCAUCACGACAGAGUCUACAUUACACAACAUGUGAAAUUUGAUGAUCAGAUAUUUCCUUUUGCUCAAUCACUGUCUGGUUCUUUUGAAAUGGCUUCUACUUCUGGUUUUCAGUUGUUACUAACCACUUUGCCUUUAUUUGUGCAGUCACCUUGUGUUAUAGUUGAGACCUCACCCUCUGUUGGGACUUCUGAUGUUGUAGGUGGCUCUCUGUCUUCCAGUGGUGGUUUACAAUUUAUGGACUUUAAUGUUGCAGAACAUUCUCAAGAUAAGCAUGCUCCUCAAAUGCUAGAAGUCACUGUUGUUUAUGAAGUUCCUUUACCUUUAAUGUGCAUCCUAUGAUUACUAAGAGUAAGGUAGGAGUGUUUAAGCCCAAGACUUAUGUUGUUGAAUUGAGUGUGACUGAGCCUAAGAGUAUCCAUGAAGCCAUGACAAUUCCUUCGUGGCAGAAAGCUGUUGAUGAGGAACUUCAGGCCUUAAUCAAGAAUGACACAUGUGAUUUGGUACCUGCUCCAGCUCAUCAUAAUUUGGUGGGAUGUAAAUGGUUAUUUAAAAUAAAAAGGAAUCAUGAUGACAGUGUACCCAGGAAUAAAGCUCAAUUGGUGGCACGGGGUUUUUCUCAAACUAGUGGUUUAGAUUACUAUGAAAGCUUCAGUCUUGUUGUCAAGGAAAAUACAAUUCGAAUGGUGCUUGCUAUGGUAAUCAUAGUAGUGUAAGAUCCGAAAAAUAGAUGUAAAUAAUUCUUUUUAGAAUGGCAAGUUACUUCAAGAGGUAUAUAUGUGACAACCUCCUAAGCUUAAGGUUUGUGAUUUAAAGGGUAAUCAGUUAGUGUGUGAGCUAAAAAAGUCACUGUAUGGGCUUAAGCAGGCACCACGUGCUUGUUUUGAUACACUGAGAAGUUUUUUGACUAGUACAUUGUAUUUUCAGAGUUCUAGAGCUUAUUCUUCUUUAUUUUUAAGAGGACCUCUUUCGGUUGAGUGUUUCUACUACUCUAUGUAAAUGAUAUACUUGUCACAGGUGCUUUUGAGGUAGAUAUAAAUGAUGUGAUUCAAACUCUUCAUCAGCAGUUUUCUCUUAAAGACCUUGGUGAUCUUCAUUAUUUUCUUGAGCUUGAAGUUACCAGAGGUGCGAAUAAUAUGCAUGUCUCGCAGCAGAAGUAUGCUCGUGAGUUACUAGAAUGAGCCAGUAUGAGUAAUGUUAAAUCAGUUCCUACCCCGAUGGGUUCUCAGAUACAGAUUGGGCCAACUCAUUAGAGGAUAGAAAAUCCAUGUCUAGAUAUUGUGUGUAUCUUGGAGCUAAUCUUAUUGGUUGGUCAUCCAAAAAGCAUAAUGUAAUAUCUCAUUCCACAACUGAGGUAGAAUAUCAAAGUCUAGAAGAUGCUACUUCUGAGCUUGCGUGGUUUCAGUCUUUGCUUGCAGAGAUUAGGGUUGUCUUUACUGGAGUGCCAACAAUUUGAUGUGAUAAUGUGAGUGUUGGAUCUCUCACAGCAAACCAUGUUCUUCAUGUUUGAGCCAAACAUAUUGAAAUAGACUUGCACUUUGUUUGUGACAAA